GAGUUUGAUCUUGGCUCAGAUUGAACGCUGGCGGCAUGCCUUACACAUGCAAGUCGAACGGCAGCACGGGAGCUUGCUCCUGGUGGCGAGUGGCGAACGGGUGAGUAAUGCAUCGGAACGUAUCCUGGAGUGGGGGAUAACGUAGCGAAAGUUACGCUAAUACCGCGGAUAUUCUGUGAGCAGGAAAGCGGGGGACCUUCGGGCCUCGCGCUCUUGGAGCGGCCGAUGUCGGAUUAGCUAGUUGGUGAGGUAAAGGCUCACCAAGGCGACGAUCCGUAGCAGGUCUGAGAGGAUGAUCUGCCACACUGGAACUGAGACACGGUCCAGACUCCUACGGGAGGCAGCAGUGGGGAAUUUUGGACAAUGGGGGCAACCCUGAUCCAGCCAUGCCGCGUGAGUGAAGAAGGCCUCGGUUGUAAG
rnacentral:rRNA from 1 species